rnacentral:misc_RNA from 1 species
UCAAAUCCGUACACCACAUACCUAAUCAAA